rnacentral:pre_miRNA from 1 species
AGACACCCUUCUGGGGCAAGACUAGCUUCAGUGGGGCUUUGGUGCUCACUGAGUCUGCCCCCUGAGUGUGUCCCU